rnacentral:rRNA from 1 species
GACGAACGCUGGCGGCGUGCCUAAUACAUGCAAGUUGAGCGCUGAAGGUUGGUACUUGUCCCAACUGGAUGAGCAGCGAACGGGCGAGUAACGCGUGGGGAAUCUGCCUUUGAGCGGGGGACAACAUUUGGAAACGAAUGCUAAUACCGCAUAAAAACUUUAAACACAAGUUUUAAGUUUGAAAGAUGCAAUUGCAUCACUCAAAGAUGAUCCCGCGUUGUAUUAGCUAGUUGGUGAGGUAAAGGCUCACCAAGGCGAUGAUACAUAGCCGACCUGAGAGGGUGAUCGGCCACAUUGGGACUGAGACACGGCCCAAACUCCUACGGGAGGCAGCAGUAGGGAAUCUUCGGCAAUGGACGAAAGUCUGACCGAGCAACGCCGCGUGAGUGAAGAAGGUUUUCGGAUCGUAAAACUCUGUUGGUAGAGAAGAACGUUGGUGAGAGUGGGAAGCUCAUCAAGUGACGGUAACUACCCAGAAAGGGACGGCUAACUACGUG